CAAACUUUUGAACGGAGAUGCCGUAAAAAUAGCUUGAUGCAGUCUUCAGAUUGAUUGAGUGCUCAUUUCUCCUUUGUACAGAUCCGAAGUUCAUUGUAUGCGUUUGUUUUACUGUGUGUAUUAAUAUUAAUGAAGCAAUUCACUCUGAUUAAUCACAGCAGGAAAGAGACAACUCUCAGUUAAAUGCUGCAGGCAUUAGAACUGUGUCUGAGUCUAACACAACAUGGCUUUCAUGCCAUGUUCGGUCUGCUUUGUGUUUGUGACAUUGACUCAAGAUCUUUAAACACACACACACACAGUCUUUUACUGUCCUUUUCCCUUCAGUGACUCAGAUAGAAAUCUCAGUCUUUUAUUUUGUGUGUGAGCGCAUGCAUGUACAAGCCUUUGAUAUGACAGCUUGAGUCUGUUAACCUCUCUAAUCAGGGUCCUUCAUCAGAAAGGUCUUUCAGAGUGCCUGUUUAAAAUUCAUAAAUUUAAAGAGAGGGGAGAAGAGGGACUGAAAAGGGGAACAGAGAAAAAAGGAAAUAAAAACAUAAACUCUCCCAUGAGGUAGAAGCUGCAGAUUGUCUCCUUCCUGACCCAGGACCUGCACUGAUCUUGAGAGGCCUGCUCUUCACUCACUGUUUGAGUCCACUCAGUAUGUCAGUUUGCCUGACAUUUUUCUAUUGCGUGUCUGGAUCCCAUCUUUCUUCAUAAAUGCCUUGCAGGCCUGGUUUUCACCACAUCAGGAUACAGGGCUGCUGGCUGAAUUCCGGUAUGAAACGGAGCGCUGGUGCACCGCAAUCUGUGUGUCAUACAUAUGCACAUCCCUCUUCAGACAGAUGGACAGGGAGCCGAAUCCAUCACGGUACUCCUGCCAGGUUCGGUUAAAGUCAGUUUGUCCAUCAAACCGGCGCUGGAACACCGUCCAUCCCCCACCUGCUGAAACCAUGUCACACACGGCCUGGAAUGGACAAGUCAUAAAGUAUAGGCCUAGAGUUGCCUCCAAAACUACCUGAACUUUUAAAAAAAUCUGUCAUCAUUUACUCAUCAUCCCAAUCUAGGUGCUUGAGUUUUUUGGAACACAAAAUAGCUUAAAAAAUGUUUAUGUGGGGUUAUUUUAUCCAUCCAAUGAAUGUCAGUGGGUUACAAUCGCACACAGUGUUAUUUUAGUAUUAUUUAUAUGUUAUUAUAGUUUUUAUUAAUACUUGGAAUUGGUUUUAUAGCUUUUAGUUUCAUUUAAUUUUAGAUGAUGUUUUUAGUAAUUUUGUUUGUGCUUUUGUAAUUUGUUUCUUUUUUUACAUUACUAUUUAGGUGUAAUUUAUUUUAAUUUCAGUUUUAGUCUUAGUUUCCAGUUAGUAAUUUUAGUGCUUCAACUUAAACAGAAUUAGAACUGAACUGAAGAAAGUUUUUAUUUUAUGAUGCCGGCUGGUCAAACCAGUGAUCUUCAAAAUCUUUUAAUUUUUGAGUGAACUAUCCCUUUAAGUUACAUUGGACAUGUAUUAGGUUGCAAAAUAUCAAU